UGGAUCCAGACUUUGAUUCUGGCUCAGGACGAACGCUGGCGGCGCGCCUAACACAUGCAAGUCGAACGAGAGAUGAGGAGCUUGCUCUUCAAAUCGAGUGGCGAACGGGUGAGUAACGCGUGAGGAACCUGCCUCAAAGAGGGGGACAACAGUUGGAAACGACUGCUAAUACCGCAUAAGCCCACAGCUCGGCAUCGAGCAGAGGGAAAAGGAGCAAUCCGCUUUGAGAUGGCCUCGCGUCCGAUUAGCUAGUUGGUGAGGUAACGGCCCACCAAGGCGACGAUCGGUAGCCGGACUGAGAGGUUGAACGGCCACAUUGGGACUGAGACACGACCCAGACUCCUACGGGAGGCAGCAGUGGGGAAUAUUGCACAAUGGGGGAAACCCUGAUGCAGCGACGCCGCGUGGAGGAAGAAGGUCUUCGGAUUGUAAACUCCUGUUGUUGAGGAAGAUAAUGACGGUACUCAACAAGGAAGUGACGGCUAACUACGUGCCAGCAGCCGCGGUAAAACGUAGGUCACAAGCGUUGUCCGGAAUUACUGGGUGUAAAGGGAGCGCAGGCGGGAGAACAAGUUGGAAGUGAAAUCCAUGGGCUCAACCCAUGAACUGCUUUCAAAACUGUUUUUCUUGAGUAGUGCAGAGGUAGGCGGAAUUCCCGGUGUAGCGGUGGAAUGCGUAGAUAUCGGGAGGAACACCAGUGGCGAAGGCGGCCUACUGGGCACCAACUGACGCUGAGGCUCGAAAGUGUGGGUAGCAAACAGGAUUAGAUACCCUGGUAGUCCACACCGUAAACGAUGAUUACUAGGUGUUGGAGGAUUGACCCCUUCAGUGCCGCAGUUAACACAAUAAGUAAUCCACCUGGGGAGUACGACCGCAAGGUUGCAACUCAAAGGAAUUGACGGA
rnacentral:rRNA from 1 species